UAAAGUUAAUGUGGAAUCAUGAGUAUCAGGAUCAGUUUUGUAAGUAAAUUCACGCUGAUAGAAAAAGAGAAGAGAUUUAUAUAUUUUAAUAAAUUUUUUUAACAGCUCAGUUCAAUUUCAAAUUCAACAAUACUUUGCCUCCAAAGGGAAAUAAAAUAAAGGUAACACAAGGCGUUCAAGAUUCUUUAAAGAGUUAUUGUAGAUGUGGGUUGGUAGGACAGAUCUCCUGUAGCAGUCUGUGUUGCAGCAAAUUUGAAAAAUCUUCUUGUAUCAUUUUAAAACUCCAACAGAGAGACUAAUGUGUUUACUGUAAAAUAUGUAUGAAAGUAGCACUAAAAAUUCUAACCCUAUAUUAUAACUCUAACCCAAAAAGAGCAUUUCUUCUUAUGGGCCCCAGGAUUUGGGUCCCAUAAUGAUAAGUCAGUCCCCACAACAUAGUAUUUGUUAGAAAAUGGUCCUUAAACUAUAUCGAAAACAAACCACACACACAAACACAUUUUCAUCCCUGUACUUCCAACCAACAGGGGACUUUUUAUUGAUUUCCACUCAUAUUAGUAACUGCAUUCAUGUCUAACCCAGACAUUUUGCAUAAUAUAUUCCUAACCAUAUCCUUAACUUAAGGAUAUGGUCUAAAUCUUACUGAAAUAGAACUGGAAUAAAAUUAAAAAAAAUUUAAAAAGUAAAUAUCACCUUCCACAAACGUCCUCUCUUUGUUGGUAGUCCGCUAUAUGAAGAAUAGUUAAACACAGAAAAAGAGAGAGAGAAAGAGAGAGAGUGUUGGAAGAGAAGGAUGUACUUUGAACACGUCACUGUUUUCUUCCUGUGGGAGUUUCUACAGAUUCUCAUACUGAACACACCAGCAUAUGAUGGAUGUAGAAACACAACAUCAUCUGCAUAUAAGAAAAUCCCCAAUGAAAUCAAUCAUCAGUGUGAGAUAAAACACCAAAUUACAAUUAUUCUAAGUUUAAGAAAAGACAAUGAUCAUCAUCUUCUGCUUAAUGGCCAAUGUUGUUCCAGCUUUAGGAGCUUCUCUCAGUGAUCGGGUCCAUCAGACUCCGGCCGAGAUCUUCCACAGACCAGGCCAGGCCGCCGUUAUCAACUGUUCACACAGUAUUGAUGGCUACGAUCGGAUCCUCUGGUACAAACACUCAAACGGCAACCAGAUGCAGUUCCUGGGAUACAUGAACGUAAUGUUUGGAACUCCAGAGCCGGGAGUCAACGUGAAAAUCAAUGGCAGCUCAAACAAAGGCGAGCUCUGCACUCUGGAGGAUCUGAGCGUGAGCAGCAGCGCCGUUUAUUUCUGCGCCGCUAGAUACCACAGUGCUUCAUGUUAACGCUCCCCAGCACAAAAACC